UAUCGGAGUCCGAUUUAGCCAUGCUAGUUGUGCGGGUUUAGACCCGCAGCGGAAAGCUCAGUAACACGUGGCCAAGCUACCCUGUGGACGGGAAUACUCUCGGGAAACUGAGGCUAAUCCCCGAUAACGCUUUGCUCCUGGAAGGGGCAAAGCCGGAAACGCUCCGGCGCCACAGGAUGCGGCUGCGGUCGAUUAGGUAGACGGUGGGGUAACGGCCCACCGUGCCCAUAAUCGGUACGGGUUGUGAGAGCAAGAGCCCGGAGACGGAAUCUGAGACAAGAUUCCGGGCCCUACGGGGCGCAGCAGGCGCGAAACCUUUACACUGUACGAAAGUGCGAUAAGGGGACUCCGAGUGUGAAGGCAUAGAGCCUUCACUUUUGUACACCGUAAGGUGGUGCACGAAUAAGGACUGGGCAAGACCGGUGCCAGCCGCCGCGGUAAUACCGGCAGUCCGAGUGAUGGCCGAUCUUAUUGGGCCUAAAGCGUCCGUAGCUGGCUGAACAAGUCCGUUGGGAAAUCUGUCCGCUUAACGGGCAGGCGUCCAGCGGAAACUGUUCAGCUUGGGACCGGAAGACCUGAGGGGUACGUCUGGGGUAGGAGUGAAAUCCUGUAAUCCUGGACGGACCGCCGGUGGCGAAAGCGCCUCAGGAGAACGGAUCCGACAGUGAGGGACGAAAGCUAGGGUCUCGAACCGGAUUAGAUACCCGGGUAGUCCUAGCUGUAAACGAUGUCCGCUAGGUGUGGCGCAGGCUACGAGCCUGCGCUGUGCCGUAGGGAAGCCGAGAAGCGGACCGCCUGGGAAGUACGUCUGCAAGGAUGAAACUUAAAGGAAUUGGCGGGGGAGCACUACAACCGGA
rnacentral:rRNA from 1 species